UGAGGAAUAUUGGUCAAUGGGCCGAGAGGCUGAACCAGCCAAGUCGCGUGAAGGAUGAAGGAUCUAUGGUUUGUAAACUUCUUUUAUACGGGAAUAAAGUGAGCCACGUGUGGUUUUUGUAUGUACCGUAUGAAUAAGCAUCGGCUAACUCCGUGCCAGCAGCCGCGGUAAUACGGAGGAUGCGAGCGUUAUCCGGAUUUAUUGGGUUUAAAGGGUGCGCAGGCGGCGCGCCAAGUCAGCGGUCAAAGUUCCGGGCUCAACCCGGUGUCGCCGUUGAAACUGGCGUGCUCGAGUGCGUGCGAGGAAGGCGGAAUGCGUUGUGUAGCGGUGAAAUGCAUAGAUAUGACGCAGAACUCCGAUUGCGAAGGCAGCUUUCCAGCGCGCUACUGACGCUGAGGCACGAAAGCGUGGGGAUCGAACAGGAUUAGAUACCCUGGUAGU
rnacentral:rRNA from 1 species